GACGAACGCUGGCGGCGUGCUUAACACAUGCAAGUCGAACGGAAAGGCCCUGCUUUUGUGGGGUGCUCGAGUGGCGAACGGGUGAGUAACACGUGAGUAACCUGCCCUUGACUUUGGGAUAACUUCAGGAAACUGGGGCUAAUACCGGAUAGGAGCUCCUGCUGCAUGGUGGGGGAUGGAAAGUUUCGGCGGUUGGGGAUGGAAUCGCGGCUUAUCAGCUUGUUGGUGGGGUAGUGGCUUCCCAAGGCUUUGAGGGGUAGCCGGCCUGAGAGGGUGACCGGCCACAUUGGGACUGAGAUACGGCCCAGACUCCUACGUGAGGCAGCAGUGGGGAACAUUGCACAGUGGGCGGAAGCCUGAUGCAGCAACGCCGCGUGCGGGAUGACGUCCUUCGGGUUGUAAACCGCUUUCGCCUGUGACGAAGCGUGAGUGACGGUAAUGGGUAAAGAAGCACCGGCUAACUACGUG
rnacentral:rRNA from 1 species